rnacentral:rRNA from 1 species
UACGGAGGGGCUAGCGUUGUUCGGAAUUACUGGGCGUAAAGCGCGCGCAGGCGGUUUCUCAAGUCAGUGGUGAAAGCCCGGAGCUCAACUCCGGAACUGCCAUUGAAACUGUGAAACUUGAGGACGAGAGAGGUGAGUGGAAUUCCCAGUGUAGAGGUGAAAUUCGUAGAUAUUGGGAGGAACACCUGUGGCGAAAGCGGCGCACUGGACCAUAACUGACGCUGAGGCGCGAAAGCUAGGGGAGCAAACAGG